rnacentral:rRNA from 1 species
GACGAACGCUGGCGGCGUGCUUAACACAUGCAAGUCGAACGGAAAGGCCCCUUUGGGGGUACUCGAGUGGCGAACGGGUGAGUAACACGUGAGUAACCUGCCCUUGACUUCGGGAUAACUUCAGGAAACUGGGGCUAAUACCGGAUAGGAAUCCUUGCUGCAUGGUGGGGGUUGGAAAGCUUCGGCGGUCUUGGAUGGACUCGCGGCUUAUCAGCUUGUUGGUGGGGUAGUGGCUUACCAAGGCUUUGACGGGUAGCCGGCCUGAGAGGGCGACCGGCCACAUUGGGACUGAGAUACGGCCCAGACUCCUACGGGAGGCAGCAGUGGGGAAUAUUGCACAAUGGGCGGAAGCCUGAUGCAGCAACGCCGCGUGCGGGAUGACGGCCUUCGGGUUGUAAACCGCUUUCAGCAGGGGCGAAGCUUGUGGUGACGGUACCUGCAGAAGAAGCACCGGCUAACUACGU